rnacentral:rRNA from 1 species
GAUGAACGCUGGCGGCGUGCCUAAUACAUGCAAGUCGAGCGAACGGACGAGAAGCUUGCUUCUCUGAUGUUAGCGGCGGACGGGUGAGUAACACGUGGAUAACCUACCUAUAAGACUGGGAUAACUUCGGGAAACCGUAGCUAAUACCGGAUAAUAUUUUGAACCGCAUGGUUCAAAAGUGAAAGACGGUCUUGCUGUCACUUAUAGAUGGGUCCGCGCUGCAUUAGCUAGUUGGUAAGGUAACGGCUUACCAAGGCAACGAUGCAUAGCCGACCUGAGAGGGUGAUCGGCCACACUGGAACUGAGACACGGUCCAGACUCCUACGGGAGGCAGCAGUAGGGAAUCUUCCGCAAAGGGCGAAAGCCUGACGGAGCAACGCCGCGUGAGUGAUGAAGGUCUUCGGAUCGUAAAACUCUGUUAUUAGGGAAGAACAUAUGUGUAAGUAACUGUGCACAUCUUGACGGUACCUAAUCAGAAAGCCACGGCUAACUACGUG